GAAUUGUUCACAAUGGGCGCAAGCCUGAUGACGCAACGCCGCGUGGGGGAUGAAGGUCUUCGGAUUGUAAACCCUUGUCGAGCGGGAAGAACGAUCCGCGUACUAACACUGCGCGGAACUGACGGUACCGCUAAAGGAAGCCACGGCUAACUCUGUGCCCGCCGCCGCGGUAAUACAGAGGUGGCAAGCGUUGUUCGGAAUUACUGGGCGUAAAGGGCGCGUAGGCGGCCAUCUAAGUCAGACGUGAAAUCCCCCGGCUUAACCUGGGAACUGCGUCUGAUACUGGACGGCUCGAGUUUGGGAGAGGGAUGUGGAAUUCCAGGUGUAGCGGUGAAAUGCGUAGAUAUCUGGAGGAACACCGGUGGCGAAGGCGGCAUCCUGGACCAACACUGACGCUGAGGCGCGAAAGCUAGGGGAGCAAACGGG
rnacentral:rRNA from 1 species